rnacentral:lncRNA from 1 species
CUAAAGAUGACAACUGAAUAGUGGUCAAUACCAUAGAUGCAACAUCUUAUGUUUUAUUUUGACUCUUAGUUUUCAGUUAGCUUUAAAACUUAUAAGAGUCAACAACUACUUAUGAUCCUUUUCUGCUGGUGUUAAGAGAGUAAGAUUUCACCACUGCUUCAUUCAUUCCCACCAAAUCAAAAUUUUGGGUAUUUCCUUUUUAGUUUACCUACAGUGUUUUAUGUGGCGUCUUCUUUAUUAUAUUGUCCCGUGAUAGUACAAGGGGGCUUUGCCAUCUGUGGUGGCAGGAUGAAACCAAGCAAAGUCUAAUGUUACGGGUGAUCAUCACUUAGGCUGGGACGUCCAGGAAACAUGGAGGUUGCUUUUGAAGACACAUCAUCCCCUGAUGCUAUUGGGUGGGAUAGCAAGGUACAAGCUAUGAAUAUUGCUUGCUUGGACAUGGACUUCUCUAGACAUAGGCUAUUCCCCUAUACUUUUGUGUUUAUGUCCAAAACUCCCAGCUCCCCCUGCCAUUUCAGGACCUUCUUGUUCUCUGUGUCAUAUCACAUUUCUAAUCAUAGAACUUUGGUUUUGGAGGAUUGAGUUUGUUCAUGAUACUUUCUUUGAUGGCGUAUGCCUUGACUCUUUAGUGAGAGCAGAGCUGGCUUCAUGGGUUUGUGACUUGAGCAAUCUCACAGGACCCUGUAAAUAUUUGAGGAAAAAUAAAUACUUGAAGAAAAACUUGAUAUUUAUUUUCCUGUCACAUGGAAAUAAUCUGUCUGCCGUUGCCAUUUCACAGUGGUAUGAGUUUGCAAGGUAUUGGCCAAUCACAACUUCUGAC